rnacentral:rRNA from 1 species
GACGAACGCUGGCGGCGUGCUUAACACAUGCAAGUCGAACGGAAAGGCCCUGCUUUUGUGGGGUGCUCGAGUGGCGAACGGGUGAGUAACACGUGAGUAAACUGCACUUGACUUUGGGAUAACUUCAGGAAACAGGGGCUCAUAUCGGAUAGGAGCUAUUGCUGCAUGGUGGGGGAUGGAAAGAUUCGGCGGUUGGGGAUGGACUAGCGGCUUAUCAGCUUGUUGGUGGGGUAGUGGCUUACCAAGGCUUUGAAGGGUAGCAGGCCUGGUCGGGUGACCGGCCACAUUGGGACUGAGAUACGGCCCAGACUCCUACGGUAGGCAGCAGGGGGGAAUAUUGCACAAUGGGCGGAAGCCUGAUGUAGCAACGCCGCGUGCGGGAUGACGGCCUUCGGGUUGUAAACCGCUUUCGCCUUUGACGAAGCGUUAGUGACGGUAAUGGGUAAAGAAGCACCGGCUAACUACGUG